rnacentral:lncRNA from 1 species
UCACCUUAGGAAUUAAUACUAUACUUGUACGAUUCAGCUCGUCCAUAUUUCGUUGACCAUUCAGGAUUUGCAAAUAGUACCUAGUGAUUUCCUCUCCUACAAUGUUCUAGUACUUUUGAAAAAAGAUUACAGGAAAGCCAUUAUUCCCUGAUGCUUUAAGAGGGGCUAUAGAUUUUAUUGCUUCUAAAAUCUCUUCUGCUUGGAAUUCCAUCUUCAUAUUUUCGUUGAGCUCUUCCGUGAUGCAAGGUGUUAUUGUUGAAAUUAAAUUGUCGCUGCUACUUACCUCGCUGGCCAAAAAUAGAUCCUUG